rnacentral:lncRNA from 1 species
AGGAUCUGGAGGAUGAGCCUGAAGCCAAUGGUGAUGGUGGCAGUGAUGAUGAUGAUGAUGAAGAAGACGAUGAUGAUGAGGAAGAUGAAGACGACGAUGAUGACGAGGAGGAUGAAGACGAGGAUGAAGAGGAGGAUGAGGAAGAUAUUCCCCAGCCACCAUCUAAGAAGAGGAAAUGAGGCCAAAAUCAUUUUCCUCUUUUUUUCUUAUUUUGUUUUAUUUCUCUUGUUAGAUUAGGAGUUUGGGUUAACAGGGAGCGUA